rfam:Bacillus litoralis strain C44 Scaffold6, whole genome shotgun sequence.
UUAUUGGAGAGUUUGAUCCUGGCUCAGGACGAACGCUGGCGGCGUGCCUAAUACAUGCAAGUCGAGCGAAUCAAUGGGAGCUUGCUCCCUGAGAUUAGCGGCGGACGGGUGAGUAACACGUG